GAACGCGGUCAUCCGGUGGCACACUGGUGAAGACUGAGUGGCGAACGGGUGAGUAACACGUGAUCAACCUGCCCCGAAGACCGGGAUAAGCCUGGGAAACUGGGUCUAAUACCGGAUGCCCCCACCGGGCCGCAUGACCUGGUGAGGAAAUGGAUUCCGCUUCGGGAGGGGCUCGCGGCCUAUCAGCUUGUUGGUGGGGUAAAGGCCCACCAAUGCGUCGACGGGUAUCUGGUCUGAUAGGACGAUCUGCCACACUGGGACUGAGACACUGCCCAGACUCCUACGGGAGGCAGCUGUGGGGAAUCUUGCGCAAUGGGCGAAAGCCUGAUGCAUCAACGCCGCGUGAGGGACGAAGGCCUUCGGGUUGUAAACCUCUUUCAUCAGGGACGAUUGUGACGGUACCUGCAUAAUAAGCCCCGGCCAACUACGUGCCAUCAGCCGCGGUAAU
rnacentral:rRNA from 1 species